AUGGCUAACCAGUCGAUUGAGACUUCGCGAAGUCUCAGUCGACUGAUUUUUAGCAGCGCCGAAACCUUAUAUCAACCAAACCAAGGAAACCCUCUUUUCUUCUUCUUCUUCUGCCGCAGCACAGAUCGCAAAUCCACCGCUAGCUCGGCUCGUGCCGGCCGCCUCAUGGAUAGCUCCGGCGCGUCGUCGUCAGCUCCCGAGGCCUCGUCCUCGUCCUCGUCAGCCCCGCACCGCUACCCGGACUGGGUGUUGCUGGGCACCAACACCCUCAUCGACCCCGACGACCACUUCCACGCGACCAGUGCGGGCGCUAUCACCUCCAAGGGCGAGCCCAUCCACGUCUCCUUCCGCGCGGUACCGCCCCCGGGGGUCUCCUCCGUCUACGUGCGCUGGACUCGCGGCAAUCGCAGGUCGGAACCCUUGCCCUCCGUGGCCGCUGCCCACCGCAACUCCAUCCUUCUCAAGCUCCGUCGCGGUUACAACAGUAAAGACCUGUUCGUGUACACUGCCAGCUCCACCGGGCCGACAUGGCUCCGGCUCCUCCCUGCUUUCGAACGCAAUUAUUACGACGACGAUUACGACACUUUAUGUAGAAAGUUCAGCCUUCAUCACAUCGAUCUCCUAUGCGAUGGUGAUGGAGAAGAAUUCGUGGUGGCGGAGCUCAAGAUUGAAGCGAAAAGCAGAUACUUCUACGGCCGGCGCCGCCGCCGGGACGACGACGAUACCACUCCGGUGGAAGCUGCGCUCUUGGUGUUCCGGUCCGGCGGCCCGGGGGACAACUGGAAGGCCACACAGCCGCGGAUCCGCCAUAAGAAGGGGCAAGGCGAGGAGCUGACCAGCUGGUCGACCGAUGAGACGGUCCCCUUCGGCGAUUCCCUGUGCUACGUUGAUUAUUCCCGCGGCAUCUUGUUCGUGGACGUCCUCAGCGAGUGCCCGGAGCUACGGUACGUCCAGCUACCGGUGACGAUCCCCACUAUUUGUCCGUACGGCCUCAAAACUCUGACUGGCCAUAGCCAGGUGCCCCCGGGACGGUGCCGGCGCUUGUGCGUCACCGAUGGUGGCCGCACCAUGAAGUUCGUCGAGGUCGUCACCACUACCGUCUUCAUGUCCCGCGGCCGUGCCACCGCCUCCGCUUUGUUUACCAUCAACGUGUGGAGGUUGAGACGGGAAGGUAAAUCCAUGACAUGGGAGAAAGAAAGCCACAUGGAAGAUUCAGAGCUCUGGACUCAGCAGGGCUACGGCGAUCUCCCGCGUGUUGCCCCUACGUGCCCCCGUGUGAGCAUGGGGGAGCCUAAUGUCAUCUACCUGACGAUCGAUGCCGACGAGACAUGGGUCAUCAUCGUGGUUGACAUGUUGACCAAGACUCUGCGAUCAUCCUUCAGAUACACGAGCAAGUCGGCCGCAACUCCUUGUGAGUUCUCUAAGCACUUGCAUGUGCCUGAGACCAGCUAA
rnacentral:rRNA from 1 species